UACGGAGGGUGCGAGCGUUUGUCCGGAAUCACUGGGCGUAAAGGGCGCGUAGGCGGCCUGAUAAGUAGGGGGUGAAAUCCUGCGGCUUAACCGCAGGGCUGCCUUCUAAACUGUCAGGCUUGAGCACAGUAGAGGCAGGUGGAAUUCCCGGUGUAGCGGUGGAAUGACGUAGAGAUCCGGAAGAACACCGGUGGCGAAGGCGGUCUGCUGGGGUGAGGCUGGACGCUGAGGCGCGACAGCGUGGG
rnacentral:rRNA from 1 species